UUUGCUAGGUUGCCCAGGCUGGUCUCAAACUACUGACUUCAGAUUAUCUUCCUGCCUCAGCCUUCCAAAAUGCUGUCAGUACAGCCCUGAGACACCUUUUCGUUAUUUUUCUUCAGAACUUAAAUUAUUUGUCACUCCCUGGAAGUGUACAGUUAAUCUGAUGUGACUUUCAUAGUUCCCCUCUCUCUCAUUACCCAGAUAAUCUCCUUUAUAGCCAUGACCACAUUUUGCUAUCGUUUUGGAUAUUGGUUGCCUUAUUAAAUGACUGUCUCUCUUCUCUCUUCCAACCAAAAAGUAAACUGUCUAAGGUCAGGAAUCCUGCCUAAGUUUUCUGGCCUGCACAUCAUCAGUGUCCUGCACAUGACAGCCCUAAUAGUUGCUCCAGAAAUUAAUGAAUACCUGAAUGAAUAAAUGCUCCCUGAGAGACAGAAAUGUAUACAAAUACUUCUGACCCUAGGAACAGUUUGUUACAUGUUUGAACCAAGAUUUAAGCAAAAUGUUGUGCCUACAAAGAAAAAGAUACGUGAAGAAGAAAAAAACAAACACUAGGGGAAUGUGAGAGUGUUCCUGGAAUAACACUGUCAUAUAUGAACUGAGUCUGGUACAUGAUACAAUUUCAUACAUAUAGUGGGGUAAGCAUUCUUGGAAAAGAAAACAGCAUGAGCAAGCACAUGAAGAUAAAAAUGUGUAGGGUAAAUAAUUGUGAUAGUCUUGCCAAUGCACCAUAAUGUAACAGUCUCUCAUUGUGAGGCGUUACCCAGAGUUCUUUGUCUUACAACCAAGAGAAUUAAGGAGCAUGGACAGAAAGGGUAAGAGUGGAGUGAAAGUUUAAUAAGUGAAAAAAGAAUGCUUUCCACCGUGAAGAGGGAACCUUGAAGAGGGUUGCCAUUUUUACAGUUGAAUGCAGAAGAAACUGAUGAGGUCUGGGUGUCUCAUUUGCAAAAGGUGCGAAUUUCUGGUAGCUCCACUUUGUCCUCCUGAUGCCCAUGCGGACCUUUAGCUUGAGUUACUCCAUAUUGCUUUGUUCCCCUUACUGCACAUGUGUCGAGAUGGAAUUUUCCAUUGCUGGCAUGUCUGAGCGAGUCACCUGUUUAGCCUUUCUUAUCUGUGUGGGCUGUGAGCAUGUCCUAGUUAGGCAAGCCCCCUUUUCCAAGUUCCUUUAUCUGUGCCUGCAGGCUGUUCUUUUAUUUGAGAGAAUUCAAUGGAGGACUCAUCCUCAUUGCCUGCCUGACCACUUUCUUCCUUUCUCCUCCCUCAUAAUGUUGUAACAGUAAAAAGACCUGAGUUCAAAUCCUAACUUUUCCUUUUAAUAGCUGUUGAUUUUGGACUAUAUGGUUAAAAAAAUUUUUUUUGCAGAGCUUUCUAAAUUCUUGGCACAUUAUUGUCAGUAUUUCUCCCUGGACCUUACUUUCCUGGGUUGCUAAAUGAAGCUAAUAAUCCAUGGUUCAGAAGUUUUUAUGAAAUAAUGUAUGUCAAAGAGCUUGGUUUUUAACAGGUACUUUCAUUCAUAGAGAUCGUAGCUGAGUUUAGGUGACCUGUUAAAUUUGGGAAAGGAUUAUUUAAAGUCAAGGAGCAGAUCCAUUAUGACACCAUAAUUAGAAUGGAUAAUCACAUCUGCAGAAAAUGGGCUACACUCUGAGUAAAUGUAAUUUUAUUCAUAAAGUGCUGGGCCUGGGGCUAGGGGAGAUAAGUUCUUACUAUAAGUCUUAAUAUAGCCUUGGGUUCUGGGAAAUGCCAAAAAUUUUUUAAAUUCAUUAGUGUGUCAGUAUCCUUGUCCUUAAAAUUAUUAUUAUAAAAAUACCUGAAUGUGAACUUAACCUCUUCUUGAGAGUUUCAGUAAGGAAAGUGAGGAUCACUUCUUUCUAGAACAUUAUACCUAAGCAGAAAGGUGCCACAUGAAAUAUUAUAUUAUAAUGGAAGCAAUGUAAAAAGAAGAGUGAGGUACUUUGUCAAUUUCACAAUGCAUCAGUGCUACUGUAAGUCAUAAUUCUAAUACAGAGAUUUAUAUAAAUAAUGAUUCUGGGAUUAGCCAGAUCUCCUAAUGUUCUAGGGUUUGUCAUUAUGAAUUGUGGCGUCACUUAGUAAGUACAUACCUAAAGAGAAGAAUAGGAGGGGAGGGAAUGUUAAAGGAAUAGUGAGCAACUAAAAAAUGGGAGAGAGAGCCUAGAGAGAAAAGCAAAAGGGGAAAGGAACACAGGAAGAAACAAAGUGGAGAAACAGAUUUUCAUAGCAAGAGGAAACCAAAGCGGCGGCUGGGAGGGAAUAGUUGCAGAAGGAAAUCUGGCCUUGUCAUUUAUCUAACCAAAUAUUCCACUCCUCAGUGAUGGUGUAGCUGCUCUUUGAAAGCCAAGCAGCUGCGAUAGGGACCUGUCAAUCUUCCUUACAUGCAGCUGGUUCCCUAAAUAUUCCAAGGAUUCCUUUUAUUUUCUGUAAGAGUACCUGCAGUCCUGUAAGGCAUGGCUGAUGGCUUUCUUUCCAUUAAGCAGCAAACAUGUGAAGCAAGCCUGAGCCAGGUUCUGGAGGAGGUCAUCUUGCAAGGAGAAAAAAAUAUUGCACUUAUUGGAUGAAUACUUAAUACACUGUUUACCUAUUAUCCUUACCUUAGAGAUGAGAAAACGGAGGCUAAAACUAGCUAAGUAAUUUACUCAUGUCUGCAUGUCUUGCUAAUGAUGGAUCUGGAUUUGAAUUCCAUAAUUCCAUUUUGUCUGACUCCAUAAAUUAUACUCACCCUAGUACACUGCUCCGGCCUGGGUGGGCCAUUUUACAUAAUGCUUUUCUUUUAUAGACAUUAAUAUGUAUAUAUAAUCAGUAGAAUGGGAGUAUGUAUUAUUAAAGGUUAAUUUUGAAAUAUUAUUUUCAGACAGAAUAUCCUUUUCAUUCUUUCUGAUCCUUAAUGUUGAUUUGAAAAUUAGAAUAGGAAAGGUAUGGCAAGUGUGUAUUUAUACUGGGAGUAGCUAACACUGCUCUCUUUAACAGUGAAGCCCUGCCAUCUGGGUUAUUGCAAAUUCUCAUAAAUUGGUAUGGCCUGUCCUGCUGUCUUGGAAAGGGAGCAACUAACGCAAGAGAAACCAAUCAAAAUGCAGCAAAAGGAUUUUGCUUAAUUAUCACUGCAGUAGAAUGGCUAGCCAAAGUCAGAAAUCUUUUGUUUCCACUCAGUUAGCAGCCCAAUAAAGCUUCAGAACGUACAGCACAAACAAAUGCCAUUUCAUUUUUCUCAACUUCUUAAAAAAGUUAAUCAGGAAUUUGUUAGAAUAAUCCUGUGUUAAAUCAAGCAGCCAGACAAUGAAAUAGGAAUUAAAGAAAAUGAAAGUGGUGGGAAUUAUCACAGAAAUAUUAAAUUAUUUCAAAAACCCUACCAAGUGAAUUGGUUAAUAAACAUUUACAAUUUAUUGCCCUCUGAGUCCUCUUUUCAGAGGCGUUUUUUUGGUUCAUCAGUUUGCUCCCAUCAACACCACCUGCCUAUAAUUCUUGACAAAAGUCUGUUUUAGAUACUGAGAGUAUCCAUUAGAUUUGAGAACAAAGCAGCCCUGUAGCAUGAGCCCAGAGUCCAGAAGGGUGUGGGUGGAGGCGGAUUCUGAUCCAAGAUUUUAGUAGGAGAUGGCUUGCUUAAGUGAAGCUAGUUUGCACUCUGCCUCUUUAUUCCGUUAAGCCUGGUGUCCCUUCCAGCUAGAAAAACAACUGGAGGUCCUGAAACUGCACACUCACCCAGUUUCCCCAAAUUCUUUACUUCUGAAGACUGCUGAAUCAUAGAGGUACAGCAGCAGACUUCAUGAAGUUCAUCUGGCCCCUAGGAUCUUGGGAUCUGCGGCCUGGGAGAGCUUCUACUGUACAGGUCUUGGGUAGGCUGCCAUCCUCUAGGAGGAGGCGACAGUGCAGCUUGUGAUUCUUUGUGAGUGUACACUGGCUGCCUUACUUGCAAGAUUCUAGUUCUAUCAAGUGUCAGUUAAAGGCUGUUUUUGUCUCUGAUUGCAUAACAGGGGAUGUUUGAGAGAGACAUCACUGAGAGAAAUCCGAAGCUACCGUGUGAAGAUCCUUUCCUGAAUAUAGCCUAGCUACCUCAGAUCAGGAUUCUCAAGCUUGGCAGUUUUGACAUUUUGGACUGGAUUCUUUUCUGUUGUGGGGAAACUACCUGUGCACUGAAGGAUGCUUUGCAGCAUCUGAGGAUGACCCACUAGAUGUUAGUAGCACUUUUCUCCCAUGGUAACAAACAAAAAUGUCUCCAGACGUUGCCACAUGUCUUCUGUCGGGCAAAAUCCCAUUGGCUAAAAACCACUGACAGAGCUUGUCCUCUUUGAAAUAAGACCACUGACUUUUUUUCUUCCUCCUAUUUAUGCUCAGAAAGAUAGGGCUGUCUUUGGAGAUAGACUUUCAAUAUUUAUCUCUGAUUCUUUUUGAGAAAAUGUUGCAUUUUAAUCUUUUGGUGACCGACCAUCUCCAAAUGUAAAAUAGAAAGUUGAAGAAGGCAGUAGUUACAUGCACAUAUUUUUUGAGCCAGGCUUCUCUGAGUUUGAGUUAAGGAUUUGCUACCAACUAGCUAUGAAACCUCAGCCGAGUUAAAAGUUAGACCUUUACAGUCUUAAGUCUCCCUUUUUUAUGUAUAAGAAGAGGGAGGAUAAUGAUUGUACCUUUUUCAGAAGUACAUAGGUUUUGGAGGUGGUUAAAUGAGGUCGAGUGGUGAAAGCAUGUAGCACAAUGGCUGGCCCGUGCUGAAUGCCUAAUGAAUGUUUGCUAUAAUUACCGCUGUUGAUGAUAAUACUUUUGAAAACAUAGUUGGCUUGUUUUAGUUAAGCCAGUGUUUACUUUUGCUUUACCAAAUACUUUCCAUAUGUUUUAUCUCAGAAAAUAGACUCACAAGUGAAAACACACACACACACACACACACACACACACACGUACAACCCCCAUCAUCUGAUAGCUCAGUGGUUCCAUAUACUAUAUCUUUGGCCAAAUCCAGGGCUUUCUGAUUAUCACCUCUAGUUUUUUUCCCACUCCUGCUGUUACCAUUCUCCGCAUUUUCUUUCAGUUCUUUCCUUCUAGAAGUACCACCAGGUGAACUACAAAUUAUUUUUUUGAUUUGCAGCCCAUGCCCUGAUGAGAAAAUGCCUAUGGUGCCUUUUGGUUUUAUGGUUCAUUGCUUAGGCCUUGUCAUAGAAACCAUGGCAUCUCUAAAAAGAAAAUAUAAAACAAAAACAACUUUCGCUUGGCCAGAGUUUAUCAAAGCAUAAUGGCAUGGAAAUAUAGGAAAGGAGAAAAUCCUACUCCCACAAUCCUCAUUUUCUUUUCUUUUUUUUUUUUUUUUUUGCCAACACAAACUGACCUUGAGGGGGCACCGGCUCAGUGUUUGCAUUUUCUGGCACUACACACACCCCUCCUUCUUCAUCUCCUACUGCUCCCCAUUCAGCUCCUCAACAAUCGGCAAUCACUUUGCCCUCCUGUUCCAAAUUUAUGACCAGGAACAAGCCGUAAACAGAGAAGGCCAAUCCUGAUCCUGGGCACUGCACCUUUCUGUUUGCCAGAGGUAAGACAGCUUGAUGGGACUGUAAAGAAUAACCCUGCAUCCCCACAAACCCCAUGAAUCACGUCGUAGGAUAAUGACUCGCAAAGGCUGCUGCAGAGACUGCAGGUGACUCAGAGCCCUGAGGCACGGCUUCCCCUAAACCACCUAGAACAAAGAGUCCCCAUGGAUGUUCUCUCUGUGGAGUCAUCUCACAACUGAGAAGACCUCACCCACUCUCUGAGCCAUAGAAGCAGCUUUUUUUUUUUUUUCUGUUAUCCAUGUGAAAUGGCAAAGAUCACUCCAGCUUACCGAUGCUCAGAGAAUUAUGAAGGUGCCACCUGAAUGAUAUUCCUACAGGAAAUACUCAGUGAACAAGAUCACAUUUUUCAUGGAUACUAUCUGCCUCCACCGGUUGCUGCUUAGUGUCUGUAUUAUUGGCCAGUGAUUGAUAAUGCCUCAGGACCACCUAGUGAUCUUGUUCAGUUUCUAAUUUACUUGGCCUGAGGUGGGGCCUGAGAAUUUGCAUAUUUUACAAACUCCCAAGUGAUGCUGAUGCAGAACAGCUGGAAGAGAAGAAUAAUUCAAACAAAUGUUCCCAGUGUAAAUGAAAGAUAAAUAUUUCAGGUGACAGAUAUUCUAAUUACCUGAUGUGAUCAUAUGCAUGUAUCAGAUUAUCCCAGGUAGCCUGAAAAUAUGUACAUCUAAUACCCAUUAGAUCUAGUUUUAAGCAAUGGAGCAACAUGACACCAAUGUAACACCUUUUCCAUAUCUGGAAGAUUUCUCCUCCUCUUUCCCCUCCCCUCCUCUCCUUUCCUUUCUUUCUCAAUCUGACAGUAGUAGCUGGAGCCUAUGCAUUAGAUUAGAGAUACACAGUUGGGAUCUAUCCUGCUUCCUGAGAAAGGACAAUGAGUAGAAGCAGCAGGGUGCAGAGAGGUCCUAACCAUUUUUGCAUGGACCUGAGGUUUGGAGGCGGUAAGUGUUUUCUGUCAGCAGUCUAGAAGCUCAUAUCAGCAAGGAGUGAGUAUACUUGUGGCUUAAAGAUUACGGUCUUCAAGACACGCUUCUGGACUGGAAACAUUUCCCUAAUUGUUUGCAUAAAUGAAAUGUACCAGACAGGCCUGAGGGUACCUAACUCAGCUUCGUUCCUCUAUCAAAUCCCUCCCUGUGUCCUUCUUCCAAUGAUAUGUCAUGCAGAUGUCCACAGGGGACACAGGAUCUUGGAGUGCAGAAAACAUGAGGCUUUCAGUAGGCAAGCUGACUCAAGUCUCAGACUCACUGUUGACUGUGUGACCUAGCUCAAGCUACGUAACUCUCUUGAGGUUAAAUCUUCUCUGUAAAAAUCUGGUAGUAUGUACUUAAGAGGGUAUUUUUUUGAAAAUUACAUGAGAUAAAACAGCCUAGAAUGCUAUCUGAUGCAAUAGUUCUCCAGUAAAUUUUAAUUUCAUUCUACUUUGAACCUUGUUUAUAUUAAAUUUAACAGAAUUAAGCCACAUACGGUAGUGAUUUCUUCUGUGGGUUCUAGAGUCUGCCUGUAGGGCUUUGAGCUCUAACUCCACAACUUCUUUACUGUGUGAACAUUGAUAUGUUUACUUUAAUCUCUCUAGGCCUUAGUUUUCUGGAUUUUGAGGAUUAAAUGAGUUAUUACUUUGUACAACACUUAGAGUCUCUGCUAUGUAAUAAGUGUUUCUAAUAUUAUGAUAUAGAUUUUAUUUCAUCUAGCUGGAUUUAGAGAAUAGCAAGCAAAAACAAAAACUCCCUCCCGAACACUCCAAAAAAAACAACAAAACAUACCACCACCAACAAUCUACUUCUAGUAUGGCACCAUUUCUAAGAAGCUAUUCUCCAAGACUUCUUCAUGUGAAAUAGUUCAGACUUGGCAGAAUUAAAAGUUCUGAGUUACAGUCCUGACAAUAGCUAAAAUUAUAAAGCUUCUAGGAGAAAGCAUAGGGAAAUAUCUUUAAAACCUUGAAUUAGGCAAUCAUAUUUUAGAAUACAAAAGCACUAAAUAUAAAAAAAAAGUAUCAAUAGAUUCAACUUGAUGAAAAUAAAAAUUCCGCUCAUCAAAAUAUAUGCUUAAGAAAGUUAAAGGAUAAUUUUCUUUAAUUUAUGUUUCUCAGACAUAGAGUGGGAGAAAAUAUUUUCAGGACAUAUAUCUAAAA